rnacentral:rRNA from 1 species
ACGGAAGGCAGCAGUGGGGAAUAUUGGGCAAUGGGCGAAAGCCUGACCCAGCAACGCCGCGUGAAGGAAGAAGAUCUUCGGAUUGUAAACUUCUUUUAUGAGGGACGAAGGAAGUGACGGUACCUCAUGAAUAAGCCACGGCUAACUACGUGCCAGCAGCCGCGGUAAUACGUAGGUGGCAAGCGUUAUCCGGAUUUACUGGGUGUAAAGGGCGCGUAGGCGGGAGAGCAAGUCAGAUGUGAAAUCUGUGGGCUUAACCCACAAACUGCAUUUGAAACUGUUUUUCUUGAGUGCUGGAGAGGUAGAUGGAAUUCCUUGUGUAGCGGUGAAAUGCGUAGAUAUAAGGAGGAACACCAGUGUCGAAGGCGGCUUACUGGGCCGUUACUGACGCUGAGGCACGAAAGCGUGGGGAGCAAACAGGAUUAGAUACCCUGGUA